UACGAAGGGGGCUAGCGUUGUUCGGAAUUACUGGGCGUAAAGCGCACGUAGGCGGACUACUAAGUCAGGGGUGAAAUCCCGGGGCUCAACCCCGGAACUGCCUUUGAUACUGAUAGUCUCGAGUCCGGAAGAGGUGAGUGGAAUUCCGAGUGUAGAGGUGAAAUUCGUAGAUAUUCGCAAGAACACCAGUGGCGAAGGCGGCUCACUGGUCCGGUACUGACGCUGAGGUGCGAAAGCGUGGGGAGCAAACAGG
rnacentral:rRNA from 1 species